GGGCCCGUGGCUCAGUCAGACAUCCGCGAGAUAACACUCGGGUCCUGGAAAGGUAGAAGUUAUUAAAACUAUCUAAAGCGUCCGGCUCUUAACCGGGUGGUCAGGGGUUCAAAUCCCCUCGGGCCCGCCA
rnacentral:tRNA from 1 species